UUCCACCAUCUGACAAGCCUGGAAGUUGCUGGGAGCCCUAAUGAACUCAGUCCAUUAGAUCCCAGCUGGGUUUCAACACCGUGGACUGGCUUCUGUCACGAAGCUUCAGUGGAGGAGAAGCUGUUUGAUGGGGGGGGUUGAUGGUUUGCAGGUUCUGUCCGACCCCAGGGUGCAAAGGCAACACAGCCUCUGUGUCCUGGGGUUCCUUUGUGUGUGCACAGGCAGGGGAAGCACCAGCUCCUUCCCAGCUUUCAUCCCCCAUAAAUGGAUCUGCAGGGGAUCACUCCAAUGACAGGAAUGACACCGAGACGGUGUAUCAGCUCUGCGGGGUGCAGGGCAACAUCAGAGACAAAAAAAACCAACACAAAACCCCAAAUCCAACAUCCAAAUCUCUUUAUCCCCAGACUGGCUCGGUCCAAACCCACGGAUAUUAAGAAAGAAUUCUUCCCUGUGAGGGUGGGGAGGCCCUGCCACAGGUUGCCCAGAGAAACUGGCUGCCCCAUCCCUGGAAGUGUCCAAGGAUGGGGCUCUGAGUGACCUGGUCAGGUGGAAGGUGUCCCUGCCCAUGGCAGGGGGGCAGAACGAGAUGGGCUUUAAGGUCCCUUCCAUCCCAAACUGUUCCAUGAUUCUCAGAUUCUAUCAGUGUAGGCACCUGAUAAUCCAUCCCAAUUUAUGGCAAGACUCUCACCUUCAGAAAUACCAACCAUGUUUUCUUCUCACUGCUCACGUUCCUGGCUCCACAGCAAAGCUUCAAGCGUGGCAGAAGCCUUUGAGGAGAGGAGGGGGCUGCUUUCUGCUCCUGAGGGGCUCCCAAACACAGGCAGCUGAUGAGGGCAUGUGGUGCUGCCUCACACCAGCAAGAGGAGGGAGAGAACAAAGCCAACAGCUCAGGACCCGAGAAAGAAAAGGAAACAUGAUCAGGACAAGAAGCCAAGAUUUCUCAGUUCCACCAGGAUUUAGAAGUAAUCUCUUCGAUAAAAUUGUUUGCAUUGCAGCAGCACGUCCAGCGCUCCGGCCCUCCAAACAUGGGCACAGAAACUCCUCCACCUUCUCCAAACCUCACAGCCUGAGGCAGCACGGCAGUGACAAGGGAAUGACGUCCCAAAGCCCUGGUGUGGCCACAGCAGGACUGAGAACUGAGCCCAAACCUCCUGAGUCACCCAUUAAAAAAGCAGCUGCAGCCCUCAGUGAAGCCACUUGUGCCCUGCAGACGGGGAGAACAACAAUCCUGCGGGGCAGCACCAAAGAUUUCCCAAAUCUUCCCACCUUCCUGGUUAUCUGCAGCACAAGCUCUACCUGCUCAGGCUGAAAUUCUGGUAUUUCAGAUCACUGGGUAUUUGAUUUUGCAAUUUUAAUUAUCACCUCUUUACCCCAGUGGCGUUUCUGUGCAAUGAUCACUCCGAGACACUCUCCAGGCUCCUACCAGGUGAUAAGAGCCAUUUAGAGCCAAAAGUUUAGGCACAACACCAAGAUAGAUAACAGAGGACUGGAGCCAUCCCUCUGCCCCACAGCCCAGCCCAGGACAAGGGCUGUGCAAACCCACCCAGGCUCUGCACAGCAACUCUCUGAGCAUCAACACUGCCGAGAUUUUCCCCUUUUAAAUCCUUCACUUCUGUCCCAGCCACGAAUCCCAGAAUUCCUAGGUGACCUGCAUCAUUUCCCCAGCUCAUCCCUGCAGCAAGAUGGGCAACAGGAUGGCAAUGGAGCCAUGAAUGGAGUAAGGAGGCAUUGCCAUGGAAGGGGUUAACACACUUUCCUAGACCCAUCCUAAUGAGCUGCACAAGAGCUUUCUGUGAUUCAGGUUUCCUUUACUGAUUUACCACUUACCCUGGAUAAGCAAAUGAGCAAUUAGCAGAGCUGCAUCUGUGAUGUCAUUUAAAUUCAAAUGAUACUCUGGCUGCUCAUUAAUAGCAGGAUGUGCAGCUCCAGAGGAUAAACCCAAACCCUCUCAGCAGAAGGUAGAAAUCCCCUUCUCCCAGGAGGAUGGGGGGAUCUGCCCAGGAACAUCGGGCUGGUUUCAGGGGACUCAUCCCAGGGGCUCCCAGAGCAUCCUGGCAAACCCCCCUGCUUUGUUCAGGAAGGUCCCUGCAGCCCUGUGCCCACCAUCUGCCUUGGCACCGUGCUGCUCACCCACCUGGCACCUCGGAAUCCACCAGGCUCUGCAUCCAUGGGCACAAUCCAGGGGGAGAUUCAACCUGCACAACUUCAGCCCAGCAGGACAAGUCCCUGUUUCUGGCACAGCAAACCUGUGUGAGGUUUGGCUCCAUCCAGGGGUGACAACAGGGGGAAGUAGAGCUUUUAUAACCUGGAGAGCAGAUGUUCACCUUCAGGGCAGGUGGGAGUGUGGGGCUCAGAGGAUGCAGGACUGGGCAUUGUUGCCUGAUCAUGGGAAUUUAAACCUGCAGCAUCAUUUUGGCUUACCCAAAAAUCCAGGGAGCUGGGGCCCCUUCCCUGUCAGAGCUGGGCACCUGCAGGGCUCACAACAGUGGCAUUCAGGGACCUGGGGAAGGUCCCAGCAGAGCUGGUGCCACAGCCAGGCCGAGUGGGGCAAAGGGAGCUGCAAAGGACCUGGGCAUGGCCUGUCCCACACUUUUUUGGGGGUGAAUGGCCUGGCCAGUAGGGCAUUUCUUCUGCCACUUGCUCUUACCCCUCCAGCUGCAAAGAUUCAUUUCUCUCCUCUGUUUCCCUCCCCAAGUCAGAACUUCAUCCAGUUUUGGGAUCUGCCCAUGGGGGACCCAGCAUUGGGUGCCUCGAGGAACAUUAGGAAAAGCUUUACAGGAGGAAACUCAUCCCAGAGCCCUGGGGUAUCCCUGGCACAGCCCAGUGGUACUGGCAGGUUCCUGCUCCUCAGCCUCUCUGCAGCAAAACUCUCCUCCUAAACUGCCAAAAGAACACAAUGUGAAUCACAUGAGUUUCACCAAGCAUUUUAUCAACAGGAAUCUUCAUGACAUCACCGGGGAAUGCUGGGGACACUGAGGCAGGAGGGGGCUGGUCCCACGAGCUGCCCGGCUUUACACAGCAGUGUCAGCAGACCCAGCUCAUCCCCCUCCUCCCCCAGCAAAGAUCACCCAGAAAGGACACCGAGCAGGAAAUUAGAUUAACGUUUGCUGCAGUGUCUCCAGGCUGCUGUGCUGGGCUGAGGGCAGGGAGGAAGGAAGCAGCAGCUGGAGAAGGGCCAAAUCCCCACUGGCAACGCGGCCGACCUUGGGACGAGGUGCUCUGCACAUGCUGCCCUUCGGGUGAGGAUGUAGCAAAGCCUUGUCACUGGAGAGCAGCUCCCUCAGCUGAUCCAGUGCAGGAUGGAGACCCUGGGGUGACUCAACUGCUGGGAUGCAGGGCUAAAACAGUCUCAGCCCCUGGGGAGGGUGGAAGGCUUUUUUUCAGCAGAGGGAUUUACCCUGCGGUAACCCAGGGAACCCACAGACCACUGACACGAGCCCUGUCCCCGUGGAGAUCCUCCCCUCCUGGUAAUGCCCUGUUCUCCCACAAAACAUGUGAAUUACUCCAUUUUCACACAACUACCUUCACUUCUCUCUGCCCUGGGUAACAGUGAGGUGUUCACUUUCCUCAUCUGGAAAGAAGAGUUGAACUGAAAGCAGAGUCUGCCUCCUCCUGCAGCCACAGGGACGGCUCCCUUUAUCCUCCCCCAUAAAUAAUAGAAGGAUUCAUUCACAGGCUUGUAACAGAUUAAAAAUAAAUAAAUAAAAAAGUGCUUGAUUUUGUUUUGC
rnacentral:lncRNA from 1 species